rnacentral:rRNA from 1 species
AGUAGUAAUAGUUAUGGUCUUGAAACUUAAAAAAUUUGGCGGUAUUUUAGUCUAUUCAGAGGAACCUGUAAUAUAAUCGAUAUUCCACGAUGAAUCUUACUUAAUUUUGUAAAUUAAUUUGUAUAUCGCCGUUAUUUGAAAAUUUUAUAAGAAUAAUAAUUUUCUAAAAUUUUUAUUAAAAAAUAAAUCAGGUCAAGGUGCAGUUUAUGAUUAAAGUUUAUAUGGGUUACAAUAAAAUUUAUUUAUAUGGAUUAAAAGAUGAAAUUUCUUUUAUAAAGGAGGAUUUGAUAGUAAAUUUUUAAAGAUAAAAGAAUUGAUU